UAGUGGCGAACGGGUGAGUAACACGUGGGCAAUCUGCCCUUCACUCUGGGACAAGCCCUGGAAACGGGGUCUAAUACCGGAUAACACUUCCUGCCGCAUGGUGGGGGGUUAAAAGCUCCGGCGGUGAAGGAUGAGCCCGCGGCCUAUCAGCUUGUUGGUGGGGUGAUGGCCUACCAAGGCGACGACGGGUAGCCGGCCUGAGAGGGCGACCGGCCACACUGGGACUGAGACACGGCCCAGACUCCUACGGGAGGCAGCAGUGGGGAAUAUUGCACAAUGGGCGAAAGCCUGAUGCAGCGACGCCGCGUGAGGGAUGACGGCCUUCGGGUUGUAAACCUCUUUCAGCAGGGAAGAAGCGAAAGUGACGGUACCUGCAGAAGAAGCGCCGGCUAACUACGUGCCAGCAGCCGCGGUAAUACGUAGGGCGCAAGCGUUGUCCGGAAUUAUUGGGCGUAAAGAGCUCGUAGGCGGCUUGUCACGUCGGAUGUGAAAGCCCGGGGCUUAACCCCGGGUCUGCAUUCGAUACGGGCUAGCUAGAGUGUGGUAGGGGAGAUCGGAAUUCCU
rnacentral:rRNA from 1 species